AGCCCUAAUUGGAAAAUUCAAGUUGAAUCUGAGAACUGAGAAGUGAGAAUCGUCCGCCGCACUCUUCCUCCCUCUAACCCUAAUCCCUUCACCAACUCCAUCCUCAGUCCGUCGCCGGUCGCCGGUCUGACCCCCCUCCAGCCGUCGCCCCUCCAGCUCCGGUCGCCUCCCCUGCUCCUGUCGCCCCUUCAGCUUUCACGCCGUCGUGUUCAUUCUCUCCACACUUCACAGCUCGGCCUCCAACUCCAGAUUUUGUGAAUUAAAUUUCAGAUUAGUAGAUGAAAAAAGUGUUGAGUAUCUUGUUUGUGGUCAAAAUUGGCUUCGCAAGUCUUCCAAGUUUAGUGUUGAAGAAAUUCUUGAAGAUGUCCAAAAGAUAGAAGAAGGUAUUGCAUUGAUGUCUACUCAAGAUUCAACAAAUUAAUCAAUCUCCAUUAUUUGUUGAAACUUGCACUUGUUAGACAAUAUUGAAGACUUUGUCAUGGAACUUCAUUUUGGUUUUAUU